rnacentral:lncRNA from 1 species
ACCGGAUUAGGUUUACAGCAUAUUACCGUACAAUCCAGAAUAAUCAAUAAUAAAUAGUAUCAAGUUGCCUAUUUAAUUAAUAGAAUUUAAUUAUAAUUUGAAUCAGAGAAAGAUGUACAUUUAUGGGCCUUAAAACGAGCCUACGAGGCCUUAAAAUUAGUUUAGGAACAAUUAAGGACCAAUUCGAAAUAAAUUAGAAAGUUUAAGGAAAAAUUUAAAAGUUUCAAAAUAAAGGUCACACAGCCAUGUGAGACAGCCCAGACCGUGGUUCCAGACAUCGUCGUGUGGCCAACUAUGUGACAGACCAUGUACCCUUCGAAAUAAUUUCACACGGCCGUUUCGUAGACUGUGUGCUAGCCUGUGUAACAUUCAAAACACCCUCACACAGCCAUGUCAUAGGCCGUGUGCUAGACCGUGUUCAAUUUGAUGUUAGGUCACACAGCUGUGUCAUAAGCCGUAUGCCAGCCCGUGUGAAAACUACACUAACAAAUUUAGGGCACACGCCCAUAUGUGACACACGGCCAUGUGACAGCCUAUGCCCGAGGCCAUAUGUACCCAAAAAUGACCAAAAUCAUGCUAUCUUACUUUUUUGCAAUUGCAUAGGAACCCAGACCAAGUCAUCCCAAUCCAACACAUAUCUAGAAACAUUUCAUAUAUUCAUUUACCCUAUUACAUGCCAUAUAAAUCAAGAUGUUUACAAAAUCUAGCAUAAAGAGUCCUGGGAUAAUGUGAUUCUUCAAGUCAAUUCGAUCUCCCAAUUACAAAAUGCAAUCUAGGAAACAAACACAAAACAGGAGUAAGCUUGCUUGAAGCUUUAUAAGUUUGCUAAAUCAAACGAUAAUCUUACUAAAUUUAAACAUAACAUAUCAAAUUAUACGAUUAAAUAACUAAGUUCAAGUCAACCACAGCCCACAACAAGUGAGUAUUGUACAGUACAUUAGUUUAAUUCAUAUUCCAAUUCAUCAUUUAGUAAGAUCUCAGGUCAACAAUAUCCAAUACGAAUUGUUAAAGCGGCACGAAACCUACUAAGCAUCAAGCCCGAUAAACACCGGAACGAAGCCUACUAGGCUCAAAGCCCAAUAAACACCAGCACGAAUCCUGCUAGGCUCAAAGCCCGAUAAGUCACCAGCAUGAGGCCUACUAGGCUCAAAGCCCAAUACAAUACACUGGCAUAAAGCCUACUAGGCCCAAGGCCCAAUACAAUACACCGCCAUAACAACUCAGUUCUAUUAUAUAUUCCUGGCAAUCAACAUUCAACUUUAUAAUAUUGAAGCUAAAAGAGUAAAUCCAAUAAUAAAGAAUAAAAUAUAACCAUAUAUAUAUAUAAUACGAACAUCGAACUUACAAAACCAAUUUGUAAUAAUAGCUCAAAUACAAGAACUAUUCAUCAGUAGGACAUCUAACGACAACACCUGAAACUAUAUAACCCUAAUGAUCUGUCCUUUGUGUUCCAAGUAUUUACGAGGUUCAUAUGGUUCAUAUGCCAUGUCCAUUUCAAUUAACUUUCUUUACAUUAUACCAUUACGAGCAUACAUCUAUAUAGUUCUUAUUUAUCAGACAUAACACCGAAUUAGCUAAUAAUGCAAUUUAGUUCAAUUUACUAAUUGUCAUAUAUCAAUCAAUUUGAUUCAUUCAUAACAUAAAUAAUAACAAUCAUAUCAUAUAAUCAUUUAAGCAUUUCUUUGUCACAUGAAUUCAAUUCUACAAUUUAAUAUUUACUAUACAAGCAAAUUUAAAUACAAUAUACUUAAAUUAUUCAAUAAUUCAAAGAACAGUUAUAACACUCCUUACCCAUAUUCGAUGCCGAAAUAGGGUACGUGGCAUUACUAGACUUAAACACAAGCGAACAUAAAAUUUCGAGUCAUAAAUUUGGCACCAAAUUAAAAAUUUUUAACAAUCAAUCAUAUCUUCCCUAAAACAAGCCUAUAAGGCCCAAAACAUGCAUUAGGAGUGGUUUGGGACUAAACCGAGAACUUUAGAAAAUUUUACAACACCUAGAAAAUUUUUCACUAAACAAGGGUCACACGCCCGUGUGGAUAUAGGAGACGCCCAUAUGGGCGGGCCGUGUGGUCACACACGCUUGUGUCCCUAAUUUGUGUAACUCUCUGUUUAUCACCCAAGAGCAAAAGAAAAUCACACAGCCAGGGCACACGCCCAUGUUCCAGGGUUGUGUCCUUCACACUACUAAGACACAUGCCUUUGUCUCUGCUUGUGUGCUCAAUUUUGAGCAAUUCUGUUUUGCAAUAAUUUAGGGUGCAGGGGACACAGGGCCAGAUCACAUGCCCAUAGGGUUGACUGUGUGUCACACAUGGCCUAGACACACACCCGUGUGUCUACCAGUGUAGACAAAAAAAAUAAGGCUAUUUACCAAGCCAUUUUGCCACCCCCACUUGCGCACAUCUACACAACAUCACAUGGCACAAAUUCAAGCAUGUAAGAGCAACCAAACAAUCACAACCAAGACAAUAACAUGUCAUUUUCACACCAUUAUUAAACAUACUUAAAACAUCAACAUUUCUAUAACGCUCAGGUUUGUGCAAGUGUACACAGUUGUUAUCAAGUAAUAAGUAAGUAUCGAGUUAUCAUCUCCACAGGGAUUGUAUUAGUGCUAAGUCACUUAAUUAUAAAAAUAUUAUUAACAACUUGGUAAAUAGAAACACAAUUUGAUUUGGAAGUAUUGAUUAAAAUUAUGUAAAAUUAAUCUAGAUGCAAUGAUCCCUAAUGUGAUUUAUCCUAACAUGCAACUAUAUGAAUGAAAUAGAUUUUUUUAGAAUUAACACAAUAAGCAACAAUUAUAACAUAAAUAAGCUAGGACAAUUACUUUAAUUAAACUCAAACUAUUAUCAACAUGCUUAUCAAUAUUCGAAAAAACAUUCCAUGGCAACUCGAUCUUUCAUAAGUUUGGAAACCAUAUUGGGUCCUUUCGGAAUCCUUUACUUAGUAAAUACGCAUUUUACUGAUCCUUAUUUACUAAGAGUUUCUUAGUAUUCGUGCGAGGUAACAAGGAUGUGUUAGGUUUGAAACAGUUUAAUCACACAAAUUUAAAAACUAUGCAGAUAACAGAGCCUGGUUAGGGUUGUUAUGUAACCUACAAUUUAAUCAAGUUAGGAUCUAAAUUGAGCAUGCACAUUUCAAUUAUGUCUCCAUUAGUCGUCGUUUGGUUAGGAUCACUCAGCUAAUUCAGAUGCAUUUCAAUCACGUAUAAACGAAAUACAGACUUGAUUUUAAUUGAAAACAUGAUCGAUUGGGGCACAAACAUUAUAAGCAUGAAUCAAAUAAUUAUUAUCUAAUCAAAACAGUCAUCCUAACUUAAAUAAAAUUAAGCUACCAUUGUUGUAAACAAGAACAGUAAACACAUAGAAAACAUUCUUGAAUUAAGUUAAAGAAAAGAAUGAUUAAACCCAAAUCAAAGUGGCUGUCACCUAAGACUCUAACUGAUGAGGGCCCUUUCGCUCCUUCGUUUUGCUCCUUUGCUAAUGGCUCUCCUAGGUGGCCAACCAAGGGCUUUUUAAUAGGCUAAUUUGCUAAAAAUCCUUAUGUAAAGAUGAUGAUAGGUGUGAGGGGGAAAGAAAGCUAAGAGAGGAGACAAGGAUGAAUGAGUGAGGGAUGAUGGAUAAGUGAGAAAUGGGGUCUUAUUUAUAGGUGAGGCAAGGGAGCUAGUUUGCUAAAAAUAGGAGUGUCCAUCAUUUGAAACUUCAUCCAAGAGUGGCCGGCCAUGAUUUGUGGGAUUGUGGUGUUUUUUGCUUGAUUUAAAUGCCACAACAUCAUCAGGAUCAAGACUCGGUCAAUUGCAAAUCUCCAAGUAAAUAUUCGAUUUCUUCAACUCUUCAAGGACCUUGUGUAAUUAAACCAAAAUUUGAUUUAUGAACAUCGACAUGCAGCCGAAUUUUGGGUUGACUUUGUCCUCCACUUAGAUGGUUUUGUAAUCAGCAUAAAGCUCUCAGACCUAUCCAACAAUAGUAGAUAAUUUAGAGGACCAAAGAAUAUAAUUUAACCACUUUAAUUAAUCAAUUUACUUAAUUAAUUAAAAUCCAAUUUAUUAAUGAAAUAUAUUAAAAUAAGUCAUUAAAUAUAAAUUUAUAUUUUAUUAUUUAAUUUAAUCAUGCAUGGCCCACUUUAUAGCUUGAAUAUAUAAUAUGCUAAAAUUAAUAUAAAAGAAGUCAUUUCUACAUGAAAACUAUAUAAUAAAGCAUAAAAUCACAUUUUAAUAAUUUCUAUGUCCCAAUUUCAUAUUUUCAUAUAUUUCAUUAACUUAUUAAACAAUUACUUGGUUUUAACAACAAAUUUAAGUAAAAAAGGUGACAAAUUAUAUAGGAAAAAUCCUAUAUAUUUUUCAAUUUACAGAUAUCAGAAUAGAGAUCACGGAAAGCAAUACACCAACCCUAAAGCUCAAGCCACAUCGGAAGUGUUGGUAAUGUAAAAGAUGUUAAACUGGAGUGUCAACAGUGUAGAAGACAGCAUUUUGGAGAUUGCUGGGUGAAAAAUAAUAAUAGAACUUGUUAUAGUUGUGGUUCACGAGAUCACUUUAUUAAAGAUUUCCCAGAGGUAGUUGAAAAAGAUAAUGUUCAGAACACGAGGCUGAGUAACACUGCAGUUAGAGGUAAACCAUCCAGAAACACAGGAAAUGUGAGUGGUGGUAGAGGUGUGACACGAGACACUGCCGCGAGAUCUAAUGCUAGAGCACCUGCACGAGCAUAUGCCAUUUGUGCUCGCGAAGAAGCGUCAUCUCCAGAUGUUAUUACUGGUAUUUUUACUCUCUAUGAUACUAAAGUUAUUGCAUUGAUAGAUCCAGGUCUACUCAUUCGUAUAUAUGUAUAAAUUUAGUAUCCAGUAAGAUUUGCCUGCAGAGUCUACUGAAUUUGAAAUUAAAGUAUCGAACCCCUUAAGCAAGUGUGUGUUGGUUGAUAAAGUGUACAAGAACUGUCCAUUGAUGAUUCGAGAUUUCUGCUUUCCAGCUUAUCUGAUUUUAUUACCCUUUGAUGAAUUUGAUAUAAUUCUGGGUAUGGAUUGGCUAACGUUGCAUGAUGCUGUUGUGAAUUGUAAGCGAAAGAUGAUUGAUCUGAGAUGUCAAAAUAAUUAGAUUAUCUGGAUUGAGUCAGAUGAUUUGAAUGGUUUGCCUGCAGUGAUUUCAUCGAUGUUAGCUCAGAAAUAUGUAAGAAAGGGUUGUGAAGUUUAUUUUGCGUAUGUGCUUGACACGAAAGUGACUGAAAAGAAGAUUGAAAUAGUACCAGUUGUGUGUGAGUAUUCGGAUGUGUUUCCUAAUAAGUUACCAGGUUUACCACCGAUCAGAGAGGUUGAGUUUGGCAUUGAGUUAGUGCUAGGAACUACGCCAAUAUCAAUAGCUCCGUAUCGAAUGGCUUCGACAGAAUUAAAAGAACUAAAAGCUCAGCUACAAGAAUUAACCGAUAGAGGGUUUGCAAGAUUGAGUUUCUCGCCUUGGGGUGCUCCUAUUUUAUUUGUGAAAAAGAAAGAUGGCACGAUGAGAAUGUGUAUAGACUACAGGCAGCUGAACAAAGUGUCAAUCAAGAACAAAUACCCUUUUCCACAGAUUGACGAUUUGUUUGAUCAGUUAAAAAGGGGCUACAGUGUUUUCAAAAAUAGAUUUGAGAUCGGGUUAUUACCAGUUGCGAGUUAGAGACUCUGAUGUUCCAAAGACAGCUUUUAGAACGAGGUAUGGUCAUUAUGAAUUUUUAGUUAUGCCUUUCAGAUUAAUGAAUGCACAUGCUAUCUUUAUGGACUUGAUGAACUGGAUAUUCAGACCAUACCUAGAUCGAUUUGUCAUUGCAUUUAUUAAUGACAUUUUGAUAUAUUCACGAGAUGAAACUAAACAUGCCGAGCAUUUGAGAAUUGUAUUGCAGACUCCGCGUGAUAAGCAAUCAUAUAUAAAGUUCAGUAAAUGUGAAUUCUGGUUGCACAAGGUUGGUUUUCUGGUGCAUAUUGUGUCAGCAUCGACUAUCCGAGUUGAUCCGAGCAAGAUUUCUACAAUAAUGGAAUGGAAGCCUCCAAGAAAUGUAUCUAAAGUACGUAGUUUUCAGGGACUAGCUGGUUAUUACCCAUGGUUUGUGAAAGGCUUUUUGAUGAUUGUGACUCCAUUGACAAGAUUGCUUCAAAAAGAUGUAAAGUUUGAAUGGUCCGAAAAAUGUCAGAAAAGUUUUGAUCAGCUAAAAGCUUUUUUGACUAAAGCUCCAAUGUUAGUACAGCCAGAAUCGGGUAAAGAAUUUGUGAUCUAUAGUGAUGCAUCGUUGAAUGGCUUGGGUUGUGUUUUGAUGCAGGAAGGCAAAGUCAUAGCUUAUGCCUUGAGAUAGUUGAAACAGCAUGAAAAGAAUUACCCAACGCAUGAUUUAGAGUUAGCAGCCAUUAUGUUUACAUUAAAGAUUUGGUGCCAUUAUUUGUACGGUGAGAAAUGCCAUGUUUAUUCAGAUCAAAAGAGUUUGAAAUAUCUGAUGACUCAGAAUGAUUUGAAUUUAUGAUAGUGGAGAUGGCUAGAAUUGCUAAAAGAUUAUGAGCUAGUGAUUAACUAUCAUCCGGGAAAAGCAAAUGUUGUAGCUGAUGCAUUAAGCCAAAAAUCUUUGUUUGCUCUAAGGGCAGUGAAUACUCAGUUGGCUUUAUUUUAUAAUGGCUCGAUAAUAGCUGAGUUGAAAGUGAGACUGUUAUUUAUACAACAUAUUUACGAAGCUCAAAAAGUUGAUAAUUAAAUGUUAGCAAAAUGAACCCAUUGUGAUUCGAAUCCUGUUUCAGAGUUUCAAGUUGAUUCCGAUGAUUGUUUAAGAUUUAAGGGCCGAAUAUAUGUUCCGAGAAAUUCAGAAUUGAUUCAGAUGAUUUUGAAUGAAGCUCAAAGUAGUCGUUUAUCUGUUCAUCUGGGGAGCACGAAAAUGUAUAAUGACUUGAAACAGUUUUAUUGGUGGCAUGGUAUAAAAUGUGACAUUUUAGAGUUUGUUUCUAAAUGUUUGAUUUGUCAGCAAGUUAAAGCCGAGCAUCAGGUGCCGUCUUAGUUAUUGCAGUCGAUUAUGAUUCCUUAGUAGAAAUGGAAUAGAGUAACUGUGGAUUUUGUUUCAGGUUUGCCCCUAUCUCCGAGAAAGAAAGAUGCGAUUUGAGUUGUUGUUAACUGGUUAACAAAAUUAGCUCAUUUCAUUCUGGUACGAACAGAUUAUUCAUUAGAAAAGUUAGAUGAGUUGUAUAUUUUCGAGAUUGUGAGAUUAUACGGAGUACUUAUUUCUAUUGUUUUGGAUAGAGAUCUGAGGUUUACAUCACAGUUUUGGAAGAAACUGCAAGACGCACUGGGUACAAAGUUACAUUUUAAUACCCCAUUUCACCCGCAGACGGAUGGUCAAUCCGAGCGAGUUAUUUAGAUACUUGAGGAUAUGUUGAGAUGUUGCAUUCUUGAGUUUGAAGGUAUGUGGGAAAAGUAUCUACCGUUGAUUGAAUUUGCGUAUAAUAACAGUUUUCAAUAUAGUAUUAAGAUGGCACCGUACGAAGCUUUAUACGGUCGGAAGUGCUGAACACCGUUGUACUGGACUGAAUUUAGUGAGAAUAAGAUUCGCGGGGUCGAUCUGAUUAGAGAGACUGAAGAAAAAGUGAAAGUAAUUUGUGAUAGUUUGAAAGCAGCUUCUGAUUGAUAGAAAUCAUACGCAGACUUGAAAUGGAAAGAUAUUGAGUUUCAGAUCGGGGAUAGAGUGUUUUUGAAAGUGUCUCCAUGGAAAAAAGAUAUUACAGUUUGGUCGAAAGGGAAAAUUGAGUUCACGAUUCAUCGGACUGUAUGAGAUUAUCGAGCGAGUUGGACCAGUUGCUUAUUGGCUAGCAUUGUCGUCUGACUUAGAAAAGGUUCAUAACGUGUUUCAUGUAUCGAUGCUACAAUACAUGCUACGAAGGUACAGAUAUGAUCCUUCGUAUGUUAUUUCCCUGACCGAAGUUGAGAUCCAACUGAUCCGAAUUCUAGCUCGUGAGAUCAAAGAAAUGAAAAAUAAAAGAAUAGCGUUAGUAAAAGUAUUAUGGCAUCGACACAGGGUAAAAGAAACUAUGUGGGAACCCGAAGAUGCUAUGAGAAAGCAAUAUCCAAACCUAUUAACUGGUAAAUUUUUUGGGACGAAAAUCCUUAAGGGUGAAGAGUUGUAACAUCUCGAUUUUAGCUAAAUUGGAAUAGUGGUUUUGGAACCACAAAUCUGAGGUCUUAAAAUUAUUUUAAUAUUAUUUUUUGUGUUUACAACAUGUGAAUAUAUAUGUGUGAAAAUUUCGUGAGUUAAUUUUAUCGUUUAAUAGCUCAAUUUAAGAAAAGGACUAAAUCACGUAAAAUGCAAAAGUAGCAUGCUAUAAGUUAAAAGUGUUAAAUUGCUAUGGUUCAUUAAAUGAAAGAGUCCUUAUGAUGUAAAUAGACCAUUGAUGGUGGGAAUGGACAUAAAUGGGCAUUAAAUGGAUGUUUUUAAAUGGUUUUAAACAAGGUUAAUUUGGUAAUUUAGUAAAAUAAUGUAUAUUAAAUAAAAUAAAAGAUGAUAGCAUGCUCAUCUUUGUUUUAUUUUCAACCAAAAAUUAGAAAAGAAAAUAGGGUUUAAAGCUUUAAAAAUUUCGCCACUUGUGUGGCUUGAUAAAGGUAUGUAUUUUGCUCGAUUUUUUAUGAUUUUUACAUUUUUGUGAUCGUUGCUUCGAAUUCUAGUUAACCUAUGUUUCAAUUUUUGAAAGUUGACAUUGAUGAAUUCAUGUGUUUUUGGAUGUUUGAUAAUUAAAUAUGAAAGCUUGGUGUUUGAUAUACAUGUUUUGUAAAGUGAUUUUGAGCAAAAAUGUAUAUUAAGGAUUAAAUUGAGAAAAGUGUAAAUUGAAAGGUUAAAAGUGUGAAAUAAAUGAAAAUAUGGGCUGCUAUGAAGCUAUACAAAAUUCAGCUAACAUGAAAUUAGAAAGAAAUUGUGUAAUUUGUGUUUUUGUGAAAUAAGGACUAAAUUGUAAGAAAUGUAAAAGUUUAGGGCCAAAGUGCAAAUUGGCUAAAAUAUGUGUUUGUGGAUGAAAUUGAUUAAGUUGGUGAUUAAAUGAGUUGAAUUUGUUAUAAUAUAGAUCAAGAAAAGAGGAACUCGGACUUAGAUCGAGGCAAGAAUAAAAUAAUCGACUAAUCGACUAGUUUCGUCGUUUUUACGUCCGAGGUAAGUUCGUACGUGAUAGACAUUUUUACAAUUAUGUUUUCAAUGCUUUAAUAUUGCAUAAAUUAUACAAAUGAGACAAUGGUUGUGUAUGACGAUGAAUCAACUAUGUUUGGCACUUAAUGUGCGUUUCGAGAAAGCUUCGGCUAUAUAAAGCACUUAGUGUGUGAAUCGGAAUAGCUUUGGUUAUAUAUAGCACUUAGUGUGCGAAACUGAAAUAAUUCUGGCUAUGAAAGGAACUUAGCGUGCAAGAUUAUAAUAGCUUUGGCUAUGCUUUGGCAUUUAGUGUGCGAAAUUAUAAUAGCUUCGGCUAUGCUUUGGCACUUAGUGUGCGAGAUAUCGAGUAUUCGACAGUAUCACGUAAAAGUAUGAGUUCGAUAUGAAUUUGUACAGGUAUGUACAUAAAAAGCAUGGAAUCUUAAUAGAAGAAGUUAUGAACUUGUUCAUAAACUCAUGAGUAAGUGUGAGGAAAGUUUGUUGGUUACCAUGAUUUAGAUAUUAAUUAGUUCAAAUUGAUGAUUUAUAUAUUAUGAACUGUUGAGUAUAUUUAGUACGAACUUACUAAGCUUUGAAGCUUGCGGUGUGUUAUUUGUCUAUGAUUUAUAAAGAAGCAAAGCUAACUUGGACUCAGGGAUCAUCGGGAAGCGUCAUCACACUAUCGAUCAUUUUGUUGGUACUUUUGAAGUCUUGUAUAUAUAGUAUAUGGCAUGUAUAGGCUAGAUAUGGUACUUUGGUUGUGAAUAUGGUCAUGAGAUUUGGCUUAUUAUGUUUAUGUUUUGAUUUGUAUAGAUAGCCAUGUGUGAUGGCUUGGUUUAGUAUGUUUUGGUAUAAAUGUGGCUAAGGUUUCAUAGUUGUUCAAAUGGUAAUGUUUUAAGUUUAGUAAAUGACUUAUAUGGUAUGAUUGAAGUUGAUGAAUUGAGAGGAUAUAUGCUUGUGAAUGAAUGUUAGAUGAUAUAAGUUUUUGAAUAGGUAUUUAGUUUGAAUUGAUAAUGGAAUUUAAUUGAAAUGGAUAUGGUAUGAAUUGUGCAUUUGGUUAAAUGAUUUUGUGAUGCUUAUUGUAUGAUGAAUUGGUGCCUUUUUGGUUGUUUAAGUGAGAAUAAGAAAGGUUGGCAAAUUGGCUUUGCGAAUGGCCUAUUUUUGUCCACAAGGGCAGAGACACGAGCGUGUGUCACAGCCAUGUGCGACACACGGUCAUGAUACACGGCCGUGUGUCUCCUGGGGUAGCCCUUCAAGUUUAAGUUAGUCUUGUGCACGGCCUAUACACACGGGUGUGUCUGAUGGCCGUGUGAGGCACACAACCUUGGCACAUGAGCGUGUGUGGCCAUUUUGAAGGGUACACGGGUUAGACACACGGGCGUGCGGUUGACCGUGUGGCCAAGUCAAUAACCCUCCUUAGAUUUCACACGGCUUGGCACACAGGCGUGUCCUCGGCCGUGUGGUGCAAAUCAGUAUGUAUGCCCUGUUUUCACACAGUCUAUGACACGGGCGUCUCUGGUAACUGUGUGAAGCACACGACUUGUUCACACGGGCAUGUGACCUUUAAAAGUUUGGAAAAUUUUCUAAGUUUCUUAAAGUUUGCAAAUGUUAUCGGUUUCGUCCUGAACCACUUCUAAGCAUAUUUUAAGGUCUCGUAGGACCUUAUAAGGGACAAAGUGAUUGAGAUGAAUGGUUUUUAAUGAUGGUUGCACAAAUGUAUGAUAUAUGUUGUGGUUGAUUGGUAAUGCCUCGUAACCCUAUUCCGGCGACAGAUACGGGCUAGGGAUGUUAUAAUUUAACCUUUUAUUUAUUAUAAUAUAAUCUCCUCACUAGAAUUAAAAAUUUUAUUUAUAAGAAAGUAAACUUAUAUUUAAAUAUUUCAUUAAAAUUAAAAUUUUAUGUUAGUUCAAAAGUUUAAAAUGACAAAAUCAAUGAUAUUAUGAACAACAAAGAUUAUAUCAGUUUGUUCAAAAGUUUCUCUAAACUCAUGUUUUUAUAUAGAUUAUACUAAUUUUAUUACUCAUGCGAUGUACAAAUAAGUUGUAUGUAUUAAUCAAAUUACAUUUGAUUAUUUCUUAAAUUUUUUAAAAUUUUUCUAACAUUUGAUUAACAAAAUUUUUAUGAAAUUAAAAUAUAAUUUUAAAAACAUGGUAAUUGAUAUUAGAUAGAAUUUUAAAAAAAUAAUAUUUUGAGAUUAUUUUUAAAAUAUAAAUAUCAUAAUAGUAGAACGCAUGAAAUUCUAUUUUUAUAUAUAGUUUUUAAUUUAAUUUUAAUUAUUAAUUAUUGAAUGUAUUAUUAAUUAGAUUUAAAUAUUGUAAACACUAAAAAUUUAUUGUAAUAUUAUAUCUAUUUCAAUUUUAAUAGUGUAUUUAAUUUGUAAAAACAGUGAUAAACUUAAAAAGAGUUUUCUAAACUGUUUUAAAAUUUGGAAUGGCUUAUCAUGUAAAAUUGUAAGUUGAAUUAUUGAAUAUAAGCAAAUCGAAAGGACUUAUUAUAUCAAAAAGGUGGAGGGGUUAUAUUGUAAUUUUCCCCUCAAUAAAUGCUUACUUUCUUGGGUAAACUACGCCAAAUGUCACUAAACUAUUAGUAAGUUUACAUUUUGAUCACUCAACUUGAAAAAGUUACAAAAUAGUCACCAAACUAUUCAAAAGCUUUCAUUUAAUUUACUGGGCUAUUAAAAUUGUUGUUGUAUAGCUUUUUUUGUUCUCACUGCCUGUACCAAUCAAAAGUUUUCCUUCCCUUUCUCUUUUACAAUUCAAUUUUUUUUAUGAAACAACUUUGAACCUCAUGAAACCGUGAAACAAAUCCAAACAGUUUUCUUCUCUAAUCUCUAAUGCUAACCUUUAGAUCGACAUAGAUCUAAGGUAUGUUCUUCUACUCAUUGAUGGGUACUGAUCUACUAUAUUGAUCGUCGACUCAUCAUUUGGAGUUCACUUGCCGAGUUUUUUAAAAAAAACCUUCAUAGCCUAAUGAUUUAAAUAAAACCUUUCGAAUAGUUUAGUGACUUAAACGAAAACUUUGAACCGUUCAAUGACUAUUUUUGUAAUUUUUUAAAGUUAAGUGACCAAAAUGUAACGUUAAUAAUAGUUUAGCGACCUUAGGUGCAAUUUAUUCUAUUUUUUUCCUUGUCACAUGGAAUUUUUUUAUAACCUCUAACACGUUAAAAAAAUAGUAACCUUGUAAUAUAUAUUAUAUACAAUUAUUUUUGGAAAAAUAAGGCCAAUAGGCCUUUUUUUAAUUAAUUAGGCCUUUAAGCUGGUUUUAAAAUUAAUUAGGGAAAUAGGCUGAUUUAAAUCGAAAGUCCGUCCAGCUGGGCGAGCUUUCUAUACACAUGACAGGAAAGCGUAGUAGUCGGUAGACGUCGUUGAUGUAAGGUGCGUACUUAAUCCGUGUGUUCCCAUAUGCGGGAAUUACAUGUGCGCAUGGGGAUCAAAGUGCUUGGAAUCUCCCACAAUCACAGGUCUCUUCCUUAGGUUCACAUAGUAGGAUGCACCUAACAUUUCCUGGUCAAGCCUAGAAUGCUUUGUAACUCGGAAAUCGAGGUUCUGAUGUGAGUGACACACAACAUACAUCAUGUUUGCUCUCGUUGUACUUCACCGAAUCUCUUGCAUCACGUCAUCGCAAAAAUUACCGCCGCCCACUAUCUGUCCAGCAUACGUCGACUCCCUCUUAAGAAACAAGGCGUUCAGUUGAAAGUAUGUCUCUUUGACAACCGAUGUUACCUGCAAACGACGCAUCCCCUUCAGUAUCGAAUUAAUGCACUCGACCAAGUUUGACGUCAUGUGCCCGUAUCGUAGACCCCUGUCGUACGACUACAUCUACUAUUCAAACGGUAUAUUCGAAACAUGCACCGCACCAUAGGCAUUAAUGGUGCUUAAGUUGUUCAACUUUUGAUGGAAAACAUGUUGGACGAGCUCGUAACCUGUAAAUAAAUAGCUACCGAUUAGUGUAAUGAAAUAAUCUCAUAUUUGAAAAUUUGAUAUGCAAUGAAUACACAGUUGGGACUACAAACCCAUGUCGAUGACUAGAUCUUGCUCAACCGCCAAAUGAUAUUUUUGGUAGUAGGUGGACCCCAAAUAUCGUAUGCAAUACCGAUGAUAAAUGCGAUCUCAGAGGGAUCCGUGACGAUCAAUCACCAAGAGUAUUCCAGGUCAUUUGUCUAAUAUGACACAUAUGUUGGGUUGCAAGCAAACAAGGCAGCGGAUCUAUCGUAGACGAAAGAGGGCUCUCAGGCGGGGAGUAGCUGUUGAGAUGCACUAAAGAUGAUGCUCCUUUUUUUUGGAAAAAUGGGUUUGUAAAACGCUUCGGAAAAUAAAUUUAGGGCAAAACCAGAGUUUUAAUUUUUUUUUUCCAAAACAAGAUAUUAGUUGUGAUAUCUGAAGUAAUAAACACUUAAUCAAAAUUGUACAUUUUCGAUUCGUCUAGGAUGAAUGCUUCGACCGAGUAGUCUUCUCCGCUAUCCUCAAGCUCACGUCUGCCUAGUGUAGGCUCACUUUGAAUCAAAAAAAAUUCACAAAAAUUACUAGUGGGGCAAUUUUGUAAUUUCUCUUAAAUUUUGGAUCAAGUUGUAAAUAAGAAAAAUAUCUCUAGAAAUUUUCUAAAAUAAUCUCUUCAGAGAAUUUUCUCUCUACAACUUUCUCUUAAAUUCAAAUAUGUAUAAAUAAUGACCUAAGGCUCUCUUUAUAUAGGGCGAAUUUAGAGAGUCCAACUAUAAUUAAACUUAAUCACUUUAAUAUUAAAUUAAUAUAAUAUUUAUCAAGACAAAUAUUGUAUUAAAUUUAAUAUUAAAUCUUAUUAAAAUAAUAGAAUGUAUUAAAUUUAAUAUUAAAAUAAUCACUUAAUAUUAAAUUAAUAAAAUACUAUUAAGAUAAGUAUUAAAUUUAAUUUAAUAUUAAACUAUUAAAAUAUUAUUAUUUUUGGAAUAAUUAAUCUGAAAUUAAAUUCUCUGGUAGAAUUCCAGUAGGAGAGUAACUCUUCCACUGCUCAAGCAUCGAUGACCAACCGCUGCCGACCACAGAGACGUCGCUGUCACAACCACCGGCACCAUCGUGCUCAAUGAUGCAGGUGCGACACCCUUACGGCACCUUGAACCGGUUCAGCUGCUGUAGGUUCGAUCCGGGUCAGUGAUGACCCGAUAGAUCCAGUCUAGCCACCGGUUGGACCGUCGGCCCAGUUUCACAUACCGAGCUUGGUUCGACCAAUUUUUGGAUCUUGGUCUUGGUUUUGUGCUCCCGGGCCCAAUUUACGAUCUCAGGUCCAAUUUUAAAGUUCAGUUACUUAUUAUGCCAAUUGUUUGACUUCAAAAUUAACUUCCAAAAAUAUCAUAUAAAUUUUAAUUGAUUUAAUUUUACUUGAUCAAAAUUAAUUUUUCCAAAAACCACUUAUAUUUUCCAAAUUAAUUUUUCAAGAAAAUUCUUUAAUCAAAUUCUCUAAUUGAAUAAUUCUUAUAACCACCUAAUUUAAUUCCAUAUUGAAUAAAUCGACUCAAUUACGUUAUUCCCAAAGUCGUAGAAUUUUCUUUUGAUUCAAAUACAGUCCGAUCGAGCUUUUGUUGGGCUAGCGAAGAGACCAAUCAAACAUAUAAAACUAGGCUCUUGUGAUUACAAUUAUGUCAAGAAGCAUCGUUCCGAUAAUUUGCAAUUACUUAAUCAUGGAGUCAGUCCACAAGAAGUACCAUGAUUGAAAACUCAUUAUUGUAUACUCCUUAUGAAAGCAAUUCAUCCAACUGCUUUGUCCAAUGACCUCGUCAUUUGUAUGUUACCCUCAUAUGAUAUCUUUGAUUCAUUUGAGUUAAAUUCAUUUACUCAAGGCAAUCCUAUUUUAUCUCACUGUCACCAUUGUGUCUUCUUAAUGAUUAAUAUGAUCACUCUCAACAAAUGAUUGUGAUAAAUUGCUUGUUCGAGAACAAGCAACCCGUGGUCACGUUCCAUAUUUAUCAAUCCACAUAAUGCCAAUAAGAAGAUAACAUUAACUCUUUAAUUGAGCUAUGAAUUUCAUUAUUGCUAGUAAAGCCAUGCUAUACACAAGUCAUGUACCCAACAUAUCGGCUAUGGGCUCAAUCAUCUUUAGAGCAUAAGCCUCCACUUAUAUCAAAGUACAUGAUUUGCAUACGCAUAGUCCGUCACUAACUCAGGAUUUAGGUAAAUCACACCAUGAAUGUCACAAGUGAAGUAAUUUAGAAACGGAUUUAGAAUUAAUUCAUCUUGGGUCCAGUCCAAUGUAUCAUUCUACCAAUGAAUACAUCUAUGUCUCUACUCGUGGACUCAAUUGCUCCAAUAACCAAGACUAACCAUCUCCCCAAUUGGAAUGGUAGAUGGCAUAAUAAUCCUUCUCAGUAUUUGAAUCAAUUGCUAACUUUGAUUCUUUUAUAGAAUUACGGACUCAUUUAGAUUAUCUACUGAAGUAAGUUGUCUUCAUCUCGAUGUAAACAUUCUUUACAAUGCCACUUAUCUUAGCUUGAACUUUAGAUAAUCAAUGAGGUAAUAUUUGCUUGUCACAAUUUCGCUAUGCAUGAAAAAUAUAAAAGACAUAAUAGUGAAAUGAGAAAUUAACUUCAUUUAUUUAUUCAUCAUUCAAAUAAAUAGAAAAGAGUUACAUGUUUACUAUAAUAUGGGCACAUUUCCCAACAAUCUCCCACUUGCCCUAGUAAAGUAAAUGUGUCAUGUUUCGCAUUCUCAUAUUCUCGACAUGUUUGUUAAAACUCCUAGUUACAAGAGUCUUAAUAAACGGAUCUGUAAGGUUAUCUUUAGAAGCUAGUUUCAUCACAUUUACAAUUCAUUCGGCUACUACCUCUUGUAUCAGGUGAUACUUCUGAUCAAUGUGUUUCAUCCUCUUGUGACUUCUCAUUUCUUUAGUAUUAACUAUUACAGCAUUGUUAUCAAAAUACAGUGUCAUAGUUUCUUCCAAACCAGGAAUAACUUUAAGUUUGGUUAAGAACUUUCGAAAUCAUAUUGCUUCUUUCGUUGCCUCAGAAGUAGCCACAUACUCAGCCUCGAUAGUAGAGUCAACAGAGCAAGUUUGUUUUACACUUCUUUAUACUAUGGCUUUACGACCUAGAACGAAUACAUUUCUCGACGUCGAUUUCCUCGAAUCUUUACAAGUUUGGAAGUCUGGGUCUUUGCAUCCAACAAGAGUAAGGUCCUCCCCAGAAUACACAAGCAUAUAAUCCCUGGUUCUUUUAAAAUACCUUAAUAUAUGCUUUACAGCUUGUUAAUGCCUAUACCUGGAUUCGCCUCAUAUCGACUAAUCAUUCCUACUAUGAAACAGAUAUCUUGAUGUGUGUAAAGCAUCGCAUACGUAAGGCUUCCAACUAUCGAAGCAUAUGGAACCUUACUCAGAUGCUCUCUUUCUUCUUUUAUCUUAGGACAGUCAUCUAAAGAAAUAUGAAAACUUGAUGCAGUCGGUUGAAUGCCUAGCUUUGCAUCGAUCAUUACAAAACAUUUCAGUACCUUAUCGAUGUAUGAAGCUUGAGAUAGAGCUAUCGUUUUAUUCUUCUGAUUCCUAAGGAUUCUAAUUCCAAGAAUAUAACUAGCUUAAUUCAAGUCCUUCAUACUAAACUGUUAAGCUAACCAUAGUUUAAUCGAUGAUAAUUCUCCUACAUCGUUUCCGAUAAGUAGAAUAUCAUCGAUAUGCAAAACGAGGAAGACCACCUUUUUGUCCUUUAUACACUUAUAAACACAAGGUUUAUCAACUUUUUGCUCAAAUAUUUAUUCUAUGAGCGAGAAAUCUGCUUAAGUCAAUAAAUGGAUCUUAGCAGUUUGCAAACUUUCUACUCAUUUCCUUUGAAAACAUAGCCGGUCGGUUAAGUCAUGUAAAUGGUCUCAUCAAGAUAACCAUUCAAGAAUGCUAUCUUCACAUCCGUUUGCCAAAUUUCGUAAUCGAGAGCAAUGACAAUGGAUAAGAGUAUACGGAUAGACUUGAACAUGGCUACCGGAGAAAAAGUCUCAUCGUAAUCGAUGUCUUCUUUCUGUGUGUAGCAUUUUCCUACAAGUCUAGCUUUGUGUGUUUCCACUUUCCCUUCCAUGUUUCUUUUCUUAUUGUAAAUCCACUUACACCCUAUGGGCUUAAUCUCAAUUGGUAAGUUUAUAAGUUCCCACACCGUAUUAGAUUUCAUAGAAUCCAUAUUGGCAUCUAUGGCUUGUUUUUAAAGCUUAGAAUCAACAUCCUGCAUAGCCUCCUCAUAAGUGAGUGGAUCAUCAUCCUCAUGAUUGGAUUUUGUAUUAUAAAUACUACAAUUAUAGAUGAAGAAGUCUAGUUUCUUAAAAACUCUCCCACUACAAUGGAUUCCCCUAUUCUAUUAAUUGUUUGUAGGUUUUUCUACAACUUUCUCAAGAAUUAAACUUGGUGAUUCUUCUAUCACUCCCAAAAAUUCCUCAAAUACCACUUUACUUCGAGGCUUAAAGUUAUCUAUGUAGCUUUCCUCUUGGAAAGUAGCAUAACUAAAAAAUUUAAUCGUAUUAUCUUUCAGAUUGUAGAAUAAUCCUCCCUUUUAUUUCUUUUAAAUAUCCUACAAACAUGCACAAUUCUGUCUGUGCAUCAACUUCUUUGCAUCCUUAUCUAGAAUGUGUGCUAGACAACCCCAUAUUCUAAAGUGAUUUAGAGCAGGUUUCUUUCCAUGCCACAGUUCAUAAAGUGUCUUACAAGAAGACUUGGUUGGCACAUCAUUUAGAAUAUAGUAAGUCAUUUGUAUCGCAUAUCCCCAGAAAGAAGUAGGAAGUUGUGAAUAGCUUGACAUUGAACAAACCAUGUCAAGAAAGAUUCUAUUCCUUCUCUUAGCUACACCAUUCUGCUAUGGAGUGUCUGGCAUAGUCAAUUAGGAUAAAAUCUCGUUUUCUUUGAGUUAUCCUAUGAACUCGUCGGAAAAAUACUCCCCACCUCAGUCAGACUGAAGAUUCUUUAUGGAUAAAUCUAAUUAUUUUUCCACUUCUACACAAAACUCUCAAAAUGUAUAAAAGGUUUUACUUUUGCAGUGCAUUAAAUACACAUAUUCAUAUCGAGAAUAGUUAUCGAUAAAAGUCACGUAAUAAUCGUAACUUCCUCAGGUAUUGAUACUCAUGGGACUACAUAUAUUAGUAUGCACUAGUUCUAAAGGUUGGUUGACCCUUCUACCUUUCGCAUUAAAAGACCUCUUAGUCAUUUUAUCUUUCAAGCAAGAUUCACAUUGUGGAAGACCAACUUCCUCAAGCAUACUUAAAGGACCAUCUUUCACGAGUCUAGUGAUUCUUUCUUUGCUAAUAUGACCAAGUCUUAAAUGCCAUAGGUAUCCCUCAUUAGAGUGAGAAGUUUUAAGCUUUUUAUUCACUAUUUUAGUUUGAAGGAUCAAGUAGUUAUUUGGUUUGAUAAAGCAUAUAUUGUUUUCCAUCCAUACAUUACAAAUUAAAGAACGAUUUUUGUGAAUAGUAAUCCCUUUAUUGAAUGUCACGGUAUAACCAUCAUAAAAUAAACAUGCUACAGAAAUUAAAUUCCUCUUAAAAUGAGGUACAUAUAACACAUUCUUUAAAAUAAUCUUUCUAAAAUUAUCAAAGUGUAAAAUAACUUCGCCUAUUGCUUCAGCUAAAAUACAGCCCUCAUCUCCUUUCCAUAACAAGAGGCUCUUAUCACACAGACUUCUUGUUUUGCUGAACCCUUGUAAAGAAACACACACAUAGUUAGUGGCUCUAGAAUUAAUAACCCACUGGUUAUUGAUUCUUCCACUAAGCAAGCUUUAACCACAAAGAGUUCUAUACCUUUACCCUUUUUAGCUAGGUAAUCCAAAUACUUAUGGCAGUUUGAUUUGAAAUGUCCUUUUUUCUGUUGCAGAAGAAACAUUUGAUCUUUUUUGGAUCUUUUGACUUAUUAGCCUUCUUCCUAUCCACACAAAGUGGAACCGAAGACUUAGUUGAUUUCUUGUUUUCCCUUAGCUUUCUGUUUCCCCUCAAAGGACGAAGGGCCCACAGCUAAGUUUACCUUAGGUUUCUCCUAAACCGGCUUACCACCAUUUAGCAUCAAUUUAUAGGAUUGUAAUUCCUUCAUGAGCUGAGUCAAGGUAAGCUCAUUGUUCUCCAAGUUAUAAGUGGCCCUAAAACUAGCAAACUCAUUAGUUAAGAAUUUAAACGCUAUUUCAAUUUGAGUGUUCAUGUCUAGUUCAGCCCCAUUAUCCUCCGCUUGGGCAAAGAAUCAUAUAAGCUCAAGCAUAUUUUCUCUGACCGAAGUGUCGAUUUUCUGUUGAAAAUUCAACAAAUUUGUAAUAGCGGAUUGUCGAGCCAAUGCGACUUGGCCUUCUAGCAAAUCCUCCAAAUUUUUUGUGAUCUCUUUGUUAGUACGAAAAUUCUCUUGUUGCUUUUGCAACACACUACUCAUGCUCACUAACAUAUAACAUCGAGCAAUCGAGUCAGAAUCUUCCCAGCGAUUUCUCACUUUUGGGCUGAGCUUCAAGAAGGCAUGUUUCAUCAAGAACGAAUUCGUGUUUCUCACAGCUGAGAACUAUCAACAAUUUUCGUUUCCAUUCUCAAAAGUUAUCCCCAUUUAAUUUAGUCUCAAUAAGAAUGUUAAUAAGAGGAAUAGGAUACAUAUUUAAAUUAAAAAAAAUAAAGAUUUCACUAAUUAUUAUCUUUGUAUUAAGCAAAUAUUCUUCAUUUCAGCAAUAUAUCAAGAAUGUAGUAUGAUGCAUGCGUAUUGUAUUAAAACAUUAAAAAUAUUUCGUUGCUAGGAUCAUUCUCACACCCAUCAACCAUGUCGCCUUGAGGUCCCAUGAUUAACUAGCAAGAACAUGGAUUACAUUCAACUAGUUCGUAAAUCUUAAUUCUUAAGACUCCACAUGAACUAACGACCGUUUAACGUUUGGCCAUCAUUUCUAGCUUAAAUAUCAUUUCUUAGGAAACUAUUUAAUAAUAGAUGAUCUUGAGUGUGUAACCGUUGACUCGACACCCAUCAUGAACAUGCUUUUAUUUAUGAGUCAUCUUGGGACAAUCUCUCUGAAAGUCAUGCAUGACUAGUUGUCCUUAAAAGAAAAUCCUAUCUAGUGAACUUGCAUGACAAAGUUUACCUUAGGGUAUGGCCAAGGUGGGAACCAACUCGAAAUUUUAUCAUGCUAUCACUUAAGGACCAUCAAUAGAGGUCAUAGGUCUUGUAAAAAGGACCUCCUCCCACUCAAUAUUUUAAAAACAUUUAAGGUUUUUUAUCCCAAAUUUCAAGAAUGAUCAUACAAUAGCCCUAGUGGCAUUCUUACCUAAUCUAAAUAGCAUGCUUCCGAUAUAUGCAUGGCAUGCUAUGGAAAUUUUAUAAAAUUCACAUUCAUUCGCAAAAAUCAAUCAAUCAUAAAAACAAAAAAUUUUGAUUCUCCAUUUUUUUUCUUUUAAGGUAGAAACCGAAGAAAUGAAUGCGAACCAUGCAUAAGAUAGGGUCCCAGGAAAGGGAGGUGAGUCAAAUUUAAUUGCUUAAAAACCAAGUCUUUCCUAGUCAGAGCCAAUCCUAUACAUGCACCUUCUCAUUACAACAUUUCUCACAGUUACUGAAUAAUCUAAAGAAGUAAAUAGAACAAUACAACACAUGUAUUUUCUCAUUACCGCACUUCUUAUUUUUAAUCGAUCAACUGUUGAUCAUCUUAUAUAUAUAUCACAAUUAUUACAUUACAUAAUAUAAAUAUUAUAAACAAUUAUAAAACAAAUAUAUAAUGAGAUAGGUAAUUAAAAUAAAAUUGCCAGCCAAGAUUUCCAUGGUUCUAUUUCUAAAAAAUAAAUGGAAAAAUAAAAUUACAUAAUUUUUCACCACAAGGCAUUCAUUGAGUUUUCAACUGCCAUCACAUCUUUUCCUCGUCAUGAACUCCCUUUUGGAAAAAUUACAUUUAAAUUUUAUGUCUAUUUCCAGCUUACAAGAAUUCUAUAAAUUUAUAAAAAAUAUAUAACUCUUUGUAGAAAUGAUAGUCCACGAUCUAUUUCCUAAUAACCACAACCUCGACAAAAAACAAUUAUAUAACAAAAUAUAAUAUUGCAUCCAUUUCCAUAUAUAACUCAAAACAUGCAUAAUACCUAAAGAAUGUCACUUUCUACGUAAUCAAAUCAUUCAAGAAGAAGAGAAAUUUAUUUUGAUCAUCUAUUUAUACUUAUAGAUAGAACACAAUCUGGCUCUAAUACCAAUUGUUGGGAAAACAGGUUUAGAAAACGCGAUAGAAAAUAAAUUUAGGGAAAAAACUAUACUUUUAAAAAAUUUUCCAAAACAAUAUCUUGGCUGUGACAUCUAAAGUAAUAAACACUUAAUCAAAAUUGUACAUUUUUUAUCUGUUUAAGAUGAGCAUUUCGACCGAGUAAUAUUCUCCGCUAUCCUCAAGCUUGCAUCUAUCGAGUGUGCACUCACUUCAAAUCAUAAAUUUUUUCAUAAAAAUUACCAGUAAGGCAAUUUUCUAUAAUAAUCUCUUCAGAAAAUUUUCUCUUUACAACUUUCUCUUGAAUUCAAGUAUGUGUAAAUAAUAAUCCAAAGCUUUUUUUAUAUAGGGAGAGUUUAAAGAGUUCAACUAUAAUUAAACUUAAUCAAUUUAAUAUUAAAUUUAAUCUAUAAAUAUUAUAUUAAACUUAAUAUUAAAUAUUAUUAAAAUAAUAAAAUGUUUAUGUACAAGAUAAACAUUAAAUUAAAUUUAGUAUUAAGAUAAUUACUUUAAUAUUAAAUUAAUAAAAUAUUGUUAAGAUAAAUAUUAAACUAAAUUUAAUAUUAAACUAUUAAAAUAAUAUUAUUUUUGGAAUAAUUAAUCAGAAAUCAAGUUCUCUGGUAGAAUUUUAAUAAGAGUGUAACUUUUUCACUACUCAACCACUGACGACCAACCGCCGCCAACCACAAAGACACAGCCAUCGCAGCCAACAGCACCGUCGUGUCCAGUGGUACAGGUGCGACACCUUUACGGCACCCCGAGCCGGUUUGGCUACUGUUGAUUCAAUCCGGGUCAGUGAUGACCUGACGGUCCGAUCUAGCCACCGAUUGGACCAUCGACCCUAUUUUACAUACUGUGCCCAGGUCGACCAGUUUUUGGGUCUUGGUUCCGAUUUUGGGCUCUCGGGCCCAAUUUACGAUCUGAAGUUCAAUUUUCAAGUUCAAUUAUCCAUUUGUCAAUUGUCUGACUUGAAAAUUAACUUCCAAAAAUAUCAUAUUAAUUUUAAUUGAUUUAAUUUUACUUGAUCAAAAUUAAUUUUUCCAAAAAUUACUUAUAUUUUCCAAAUUAAUUUUUCAAGAAAAUUCUUUAAUCAAAUUUUCUAGUUGAACAAUUCUUACAACCACCUAAUUUAAUUUCACAUCAAAUAAAUCUACUCAAUUAAAUUAUUCCCAAAGUUGUAGAAUUUUCUUCUGAUUCAAAUGCAAUCCGAUCGAGCUUUUGUUAAGCUAGCAAAGGGACCAAUCGGACAUAUACAAUUAGCUCUAGUGAUUGCAAUUAUGUUUAGAAAUAUCGUUCUGAUAAUUUGCAAUUAUUUAAUCAUGGAGUCAAUCCACAAGAAGUACCAUUAUUGAAAACUCCUUAUUGUAUACUUUUUACAAAAGUAAUUCAUCCAACUACUUGGUCCAAUAACCUUGUCAUGUGUGUGUCACCCUCAUAUGAUAUCCUUGAUUCCUUUGAGUUAACUGUUUACUCAAUACAAUUGUAUUUGAUCUCACUGUCACCAUUGUGUCUUCUUAAUGAUUAAUAUGAUCACUGUCAACAAAUGGCUGUGAUAAAUUGUUCGUUCAAGGAUAAGCAACCUAUGUCACGUUCUAUAUUUAUCAAUCCACACAAUGACAAUGAAAGGAUAUCAUUAACUCUUUAAUUGAGUUAUAAAUUUCACUGUUGCUAGUAAAGCCAUGACAUACACAAGUCAUAUACCCAACAUACCAACUAUGGACUCAAUCAUCUUUAGAGCAUAAGCCUCCACUUGUAUCAAAGCACAUGAUUUGCAUACGCAUGGUCAAUGGCUAAUUCAGGAUUUAAGUAAAUCACACCAUGAAUGUUACAAAUGAAUUAAUUCACAAACAAAUCCAAAAUUAAUUCAUCUUGGGUCUGGUCCAUUGUAUCAUUCUACCAAUGAAUAUAUCUAUAUCUCUACUCAUGGAGUCAACUGCUCUAAUAGCCAAGACUAAUCAUCUCCCUAAUUGGAACUGUAGACAACAUAAUAAUCCUUCUUAGUAUUUAAAUCAAAUAUUCACUUCGAUUCUUUUACGGGAUUACGGGCUUAUUUAGAUUAUCUACUGAAGUAAGUUGUCUUUCUCUCAAUGUAAAUGUUCUUUACAAUGCCACUUAUCUUCAAUUUGAACUUUACACAAUCAAUGAGCUAAUAUUUGUUUGUUACAAUUUCGCUAUGCAUGCAAAAUAUAAAAGACAUAAUAGUGAAAUGUGAAAUUAAUUUUAUUUAUUUAUUCAUUGUUCAAAUAAAUAGAAAACAUUUACAUGUUUAUUAUAAUAUGGGUACAUUUUCCAACACCUUUCGAGGUGACGACGGUUGUCGUUAUUACACAUCCCAUUAAUAACUGCAACUGCUUUCGCGCCGACCCAAGUUUGACGUCUACUAUGUUGGAAUAUCCGCGCUUCUCUUGAGAGCCCUCUUGUGUCCACCUCAGUGUCAGCCUUCGGACAAUAAUGAAAGGUUUAAGAUACUGAGACUUGGAAAUAGCGAAAAAAAUUACGUUGAUUACACCGAAAGUUCCUAGAGUUUUUCUGUAUGAUUAUGGCAUCAAUCAUAUGUAUAGUAUAUAUAGGGAAUUGUUUGUGGGUAUCAAAAAAUCUUGAACUCCUGAUCACGUAACGGCCGUCACCUAGCUCCCCGGUUAUACUCAAACGUAUGAUCACAUCACGACCGCCAACUGAGACCUUCACGUAGACUUCGACCCCUGAUCGUAUCAAGCAUUAUUACCUUGAAACCAAAUUUCCCCACGAUGGGUUUCUUAGGUGAUGGUCCUAUCCCACAAUGAAAUAUUAAAUGUAUGUGUACUGAGGCGCAUUAACAUCCUCUACCCCUCAAAACUACUUAAGAACUUUUGCCAUUUUAGUCGAAAACCUUAAACACUUUCAAAAUACCUUAAACCCCAAAAUUCCUAAACCCUAACCUUAAAAAAAUAAAAGCCCUAACCUUAGAGAGAGAAAUAGAAAGUGUAUCUAGCUGGGCGCGCUUUUCUGCCAUCUAUGCAAAAAGUGCACCUAACUGGACGUGUUUUCCUUUCUCUCCUAAAAUCGGCCUCUUUCCCUAAUUAAUUUUCAAAUUGGCCAAAAUGCCUACUUAAUUAAAAAAAAAGGCCUACAAGCCUUAUUUUACCUGUAUUUUGCUUCUAAAAGUAAAAUGAGUAAUUUUUUUAUCUGGCAUUUAUUAUUUUUUGUUAAUCAAAUUUCAUUUGGGUGAGUUUGCCAUACUCUGCCAUUGUACUUUUUUUAUUCUAUAAUUAAUCUUAAAAGAUUAAUAUGCUUCUUUUUUUUAAUAUUUAUGUUUUAAUAUUUUACAAUAUUCUUAAAUAAUAUUUCAAUUGCCCGAAUAAUUUCUCAUUUUAUUUUACAAAAUAAUUAAUAAAUAAUAAUAAUAAUAAUAGGGGGAAAUAAAUAAAAGUCCAACUUAUAAGGAGAGACAAGCAAAAGCAUGAAGUUCCAAUUCGAAAUCGAUGGGGAGACCCCACCGGCGUCACUGUCACUUUCCAGACCAAACGAACGGCACGAAGCAUAUCAUCUGGCUAAUGGCAUUAUUCAUUUCAUGUGGUAAAGAUGAGCUCAUGCUGUGCCUCUUAUAGCAACAUCGCCCGCCUUUCUUUUUUCCUAUACGUUUCUUGGCAUUAAUUAACCCCCAAAUCUCAAUUUCCAAAUACCCACAUACACUCUCACUAAUUUCGUCCCAAGGCGUUGCCUUUCCUGGACGCGACUCCCCCGAAAUUGAUGGCCUGAAUCUGCAAAUGGAAACUCACUCCAUUUCACUCACCAAUUUCUCACCUUUGACUCGCCCUUUACGCCCAUCACGACUCGGACGCCUCAACUCUUUCCACUUCAAACCUUUGUUUUUCUCUCCCCUCUCCACCCGCUACAAGUCCCUCUUUCUUCCUCUUAAUUCCCACACUAUCCGAAUCCGCUGCGUCGCUAAUCACGAACACCACCAUCAUCAUGAGCAUGAUCAUGAUCAUGAUCAUGGCCAUGACCAUGACCAUCACCACCACCACCACCACCAUCAUCAUGGUUCUGGUCUAUUGAAUGGGCCCCAGAAAGCCGUGAUCGGGUUUGCAAAAGCCAUUCGAUGGAUGGACCUGGCCAAUUUCCUGAGAGAGCACCUUCACCUCUGCUGCUGCGCCACUGCACUGUUUAUUGCUGCCGCUGCUUGCCCUUAUUUAGUCCCAAAACCAGCCGUCAAGCCUCUCCAAAAUUCCUUCCUUGUCCUCGCCUUCCCUCUCGUUGGGGUAAACUCCAUUUCUCUUUUAUGUUCCGUUUGGUUGCUGAAUUUUUGCAUCAAAAAUAGUAACUUUCUUAUUAUUUAAUGGAAUAGGUGGUAAUUAUGUUCGACUCGAUAUUUGAUUUUUCUGUAUUUUAAAUCAGCUUACUUGUAUUGCGUUUUAUUUGGUCAGGUUUCUGCGGCACUUGAUGCCGUUACUGAUAUUGCUGGUGGGAAAGUGAACAUUCAUGUACUUAUGGCACUUGCUGCCUUUGCCUCUGUUUUCAUGGGGAAUGCCUUGGAAGGAGGGUUGCUUCUUGCAAUGUUCAAUUUGGCUCAUAUCGGUAAGUGUUUCGAGCUGGUUAAAUUUGUUUCAGAGGCAUCCUAUGUUUCCUUGGUGUAAUUGUGAAAGUUGGUUACUUGCAGCUGAAGAAUUUUUUACCAGUCGUUCAAUGAUAGAUGUGAAGGAGUUGAAAGAAAACUAUCCGGAUUCAGCACUUGUACUAAAUUUGGAUGAUGAUAAUUUGCCAAAUGUUUCUGACUUGUCAUACCAAAGCAUCCCUGUUCAUGAUGUGGAGGUUGGCUCCUACAUUCUGGUCACAACUGGUGAGGUCUGUGAUAAUAGGAAUAUGGAUUCUAUACUGGGUUAAUAUUUUUAUAUUUUAUGUUUUUUAAAUUCUUUUAUGUUAUAAGGGUAAGUUAAUGGUGUGAGCUGCUAUUUUUCCAGGCUGUUCCUGUAGAUUGUGAAGUGUUCCACGGUAGUGCAACAAUUACUAUUGAGCAUUUGACUGGUGAAAUCAAACCAUUAGAGGCUAAAGCUGGAGAUAGGAUUCCAGGUGGUGCAAGGAAUUUGGAUGGUAGAAUGAUCGUUAAGGUGUGUUUAUGAAUUUUUCAGAAUGCUAAAUGUAAAAAAGUUCAACUUAUGUUCUUUUAUCUUCUGAAAUUGUUUAGGUUAAAAAGUGAGUACAUAAAUUUUUCUUGCAGGGAACUUUUCUUUUUUUCUGUCAUUUCUAGUUCACAUCCUUCACUUAUGUUUUGGGUUUUCCCUUUAAUAAUUUCAUAUUAGGUGCUUAAGACAUGGAAAGAAUCAACGCUUAGCAGGAUUGUGCAGUUAACUGAAGAAGCACAAUUGAAUAAACCUAAGCUGCAAAGGUGGUUGGAUGAAUUUGGUGAGCAGUACAGCAAGGUGGUUGUAGUUUUGUCAGUUGCCAUUGCAGUUCUUGGGCCUUUUCUUUUUAAGUGGCCAUUCAUUAGCACUGCAGGUAACUCUUAGUAUAAGCUGCUUUGCAAUUAUCACGGUUGUUUCUCUCUCUAUUGCCUUGUGCCAUUAAUUUUGUUAUCCAUGGUUUACACCCUUUUAUCUUCUAAGAAAGGCCUCUUCUGCUAACGCAUCUUAGUUUUAGUUACCUUAACUGGCAAUAACCCCACUUUGCGUCAACUCUCACUGAAUAGUCAGUCUGUUUAGUUUGAAGCUUUACUUGUCUUGUUCUUCCUCUUGACAAUUCUCUGAUGUUAUCUUUGUCUGUUUUGAGUUAUCUUCUACCUGUCUUAUGUUUGGUGUUGAUUAUGCAGUUUGCAGAGGAUCAAUCUACAGGGCAUUGGGGCUUAUGGUGGCAGCAUCCCCAUGUGCCUUGGCUGUAGCCCCACUGGCGUAUGCUACAGCAGUGAGCUCCUGUGCGAGAAAGGUAUCAGUCACAUGUAAUCAAGGAGUGUUCACACAUGCCUUCUGUCACUGUCAGCAUGUUCUUUCUCAAGUGUAUACAAGCCUUUUUCAUAACUGUAUUUAUUUUCAUUUGUUAAGAUAAUGAUGGAAGCCCGCCGCAUUGCAAUAUAGCUAUAAUUAAAAUACUUUUGAUACCUUAGACUGAGUCUAACCAUUAUUAGUUUUCUGUACUUUGGUUGGAUCAGCUCACAUUAGUUUUUUGUUCUGAACACCUUUGUUAUUGUACAAUUUCUAAAAUCAUCUUUCUAGUACCUUGAUAAAUUGUGUAUUCUUGUGUAUAUGUUUCUUGAUUAAUUUUGCCUUGCACAAGUUUUUGUUAGAGCCAAUAGGUUGCUUUUUUUUUUCAUGGAAAUUAGUAAUAACUUGGAGGUCAUCGGUACACGUCUGUUUACUCGAUGAUGCUUGUAGAUGUCUAGAUUUAUCUAAUUGCUUAACUACUGAAGCUCUUUUGGUGUUAAUAUGAAUCAUGAGAUUCACCUGAUCUCCUCCAGUCUGACUCUCUCUCUCUCUAUAUAUAUAGGGGAUAUUGCUAAAAGGUGGGCAAGUGCUAGAUGCUCUAGCUUCUUGUCACACUGUUGCAUUUGAUAAAACUGGGACAUUGACAACUGGAGGGCUUAUGUUUAAAGCAAUUGAACCAAUUUAUGGUCACAUAAUUGGAAACAAGAAGACAAAUUUAACUUCCUGUUGUGUUCCUAGCUGUGAAGUAGAAGCACUUGCAGUAGCAGCUGCGAUGGAGAAGGGUACUACUCAUCCUAUUGGAAGGUAUUGUAUAAAAUGAAAUAGUGUAUCCUCUGUAAGUUGAGCAUCUGUGGUCUGUGCAACUCAUUCUGUGACCAUAGCCCUCUAAUAAGCUAAUGAGGGUAAUAACUAAUUUCUACUUUAACUUGCCAUUGUCUUAAUGAUGGUCAUAUUUCUUGUAUGAAUUAUUGUCAUAAUCUUGUCAAAUUAUUUAUCAUUCCUUUUAUUCCAGGGCGGUUGUAGACCAUAGCAUAGGGAAAGAUCUUCCUUCUGUUUCUGUUGAAAGUUUUGAAUAUUUUCCUGGCAAAGGUCUUAUUGCUACUCUCAACAGUGCUGAGGUAAUGUCUUUUACGAAUAUAUUUCAUAUGUCUCCGUGAUAUUUAAGGGGAAACUGAGUUAUCUUCAAGUUUGCUGAAAUCACUAAUUUUCAUUUACGAGCAAUUUGAAUCCUCCGUUUUAUUCCUAUACCUUGUAUGUCCAGUUCAUUUACUACUGUACAUUUGUAACUUAGCAGACUGCAAUUUCCCUCCUUGAGGUUGUUGUAUGGCACUUACAGUCAUUGGGGUUUCUUCUACUAGAGGAUCUAGUGUUAGCUUUUUUGCUAAAAAGAGAAAAAAAAAAGGGGGGGGGGAGACAAUGGGUUUUGUCAUAAUUUUAUUAAAAGCGCCUUUCAUGGAAGUGUAAAAAAAAAAGGAAAAAAAAAGUCAAAAUGCAAAAUUGUAGUUCAGUGUUGAUUUUUCAUGUCAAGCAACAUAUAAUCAAAAUGAAGGAUGAUAGAAUAAUUUUCUUCAGCCUGAAUUAUAUUUAUAUCUUAUGACAAGACACGUUCCUUUGAACUAUGAUACUGACUUCAACUAUAGGGCUUAUUCACCGUUAAGUAUUUGCUUGCUUCCCAUCAGUAACAUUAAAGCCAUCCCGCUUAUAAUCAUUUCUGCUUUGUUAUAGUCAGGAACUAGAGGAGGUAAAAUGUUAAAAGCGUCACUUGGUUCGAUAGAGUUUAUCACUUCACUUUGUAAAUCUGAAGUUGAAUCAAGGAAGAUUAGGGCAGCUGUUAAUGCUUCUUCUUUUGGAACUGACUUUGUUCAUGCUGCCCUUUCUGUUGAUGAAAAGGUGUGAUUUCCAUCCAUUAUGUUAGUUGUUAUGCUUUUCUCACAUCAAAGAUAGACAUGCAUUUGAAAUACCAAGACACGAGCAAGCUAUAUCUGUUUAUCUUUUAUGGAAAACAUUUACCUAAAUAUGUACAGAUUCUUUGAUAUUACUUUUAAAAGCAGAUGCAUCUGUAUUGGGUGUUAAAAGAAUCAGGAAAAUGUGUGGAAAGACUUGUUAUAUGCCCAAAACACUUAACUCAAAAACAGCUGCAUAUGAAGAUGUUAACUGCUUGCUUUUUAUGCAUAUAUUUAAGUCCUCAAUUUUUGAUGCUUUGACAACCGGGCUAUUUUACGCAGACAAUUGCAUUUUGUGUAAGGUCUAUAGACUGAAUGUAUAUGCCAUAAGAGUACAUGUUGAAUUUGUGCUAUUUGCAGAAUCAUUUGUUUUCUGAUCAAUUAUUUAUGUUGUAUAUACUAAAUUGAGUUUUCUAAUGUAUAAGCAGGUGACUUUGAUUCACCUUGAGGAUAGGCCUAGACCAGGGGUGUUAGAUGUUAUUUCUGAAUUGAAAGAUAAAGCAAAAGUCCGAGUAAUGAUGUUAACUGGUGACCACAAAUUAAGUGCAUGGAGAGUAGCUAAUGCUGUUGGCAUAAAUGAAGUCUACUGCAGCCUAAAGCCAGAGGAUAAACUCAAUCAUGUGAAGAGGAUUUCAGGGGAUAUGGGUGAGCCCCAGAUUCUUAUUAAGUUAAAUAUUUUGAUAUUCAGUAGAUAUUUAGUGGCAAAUUCGUAUUCCAUAUCUCAGUGGAGUAUUGAAGUAUUGUGUGAAUCAUGUACGUGAUUACCAUCUUUAUAUUAAAAUGAUCAGCCAAAGAUCAAGUUACAUUUUGUCCACCUUCAUGGCAGGAGGAGGUUUGAUCAUGGUAGGUGAAGGUAUCAAUGAUGCACCAGCUCUGGCUGCUGCAACUGUUGGAAUUGUAUUAGCACAUCGUGCUAGUGCAACUGCUAUAGCAGUUGCAGAUGUCCUAUUGCUUCAGGACAACAUUUCUGGUGUUCCAUUCAGUAUAGCCAAGGCUCGCCAAACAACUUCACUGGUACUCAGUUAAUCCCUUCCUUAUUCCUGUUCUCUGAUUAUGCAGACAAUUUACACGUGCAAUUUAACAUGCAGGUCAAGCAAAAUGUGGCCCUUGCCUUAACUUGUAUAAUCUUGGCCUCUCUCCCAUCAGUCUUGGGGUUUCUUCCGCUUUGGCUGACGGUAUGAUCAAUUUGAUGAUUGCAUUGUCUUGCAAAAACUUAUGAACCCUGUUUUAAUUUUUAGAAUAAAAACAUGGUCCAUGACACCCGAAACUGUUCCUGUCGACUUACAUCUGUUGAAGCUGUAUGUAUAUUAUAAGUAACUAGCGUGUAUAUAUCAAUCUGACAUCAUGAACUGAGCUCCUCUUCUGUCUCGGGUAAUAUACAGGUUCUCCUGCACGAAGGGGGUACUCUUCUUGUUUGCCUCAACUCUAUCCGUGCACUAAAUGACCCGUCAUGGUCCUGGGGGCAGGAUCUAAGGAAUUUGAUAGGUAAACUCAAAUCAAAACUUGCAUUAUUGAGACAUAACGCCACUUCAAGCCCCAUCCAGACUGCACCUUUGUAAACUAAUACUUAGCUUAGACUUGGUGAGAAAUUUUUCCUUAAAUUCUUUUUUUGUAGUUAAGAGAUGGCUCAUUCUCAUAUUGUUGUUUAUAAGCAAGAGUCCAAAACUGUAAAAAGUUGAUACAUCAAUGAAUCAAUGAAUAAUAUUUGGUUGUUUGACCCCUUUUUAAGUUAAAUAGUUUCAACUUGCUUAAAAGCAAGUAGUGAGAAUGAAUAAGCUGUUGCUUUCCUGAUUUUCGUGUUUGAGGUCUUUCCUGUGCUGUGAGCUGAGUAAGUAUUGAAUGUCAAAGUUUGGUGAUGUUCCCUCAUUUAAGUCGAUGGAAUUUCAAACAAUAAUCGGGAAAGAAAGAACAUAUAUGUUUCUACAUGAAAACAUUUAAUAACAUUGCGGUCACGUGAUCUUAAGCCAUAAGUUUUACUAUCCGUAAAUUUUAUAUUAUAUGCGUUACAUUGUAAUAGUAAGAAAACGGUGGUACACAUUUAAUAACCUCCUUAUGUUUAUAUAAAAAUAAAAUAAAAAGCAAACCCUGUUCAUGAUUGUGAUUGAUGAGGGUGAAGUUGACCAAGUAUAGCCAUUUAGCAUUUGGAUUUUACUCAAACCAUUUCCUACGUACAUAUUAAAUUAUAUACACCAUAUUAUUUUUUGUACUUCAUGCCUUAUCACCGCCAAUAUUAUAUUCAAACAAGGAUGCUUAAAGAAAACUUCGAGAAUGUUCUAACCAACGUAAACAAAAGAAAGAACUUUUCUAAGAUGGAUUUUAAUCCUGAAAUUUGAUAUCAUUUAGAAAAACCCACAUUAUUAUUGUAACAAUAGCAGUUGAUUUCAACUUACUAAUAAGAUUAUAAAAAGUAAAAAAUGAAAUCUUAAAUUUUAGUAUAAUAAAGGGAUUAAAAGUAAGAUGAGAGUUGAUUGGAUGGGCUCGUGUUGUAUGAACAUAUCGUGAAACCGUAUGCUCUUUAAUUUAAAUUAUUAUUUUUUCAAAAAUAGUUUGGAGUUGGGAGGUUAAAAUUUUGGGUUGCGUGAGUUCAAAAUGGAUUGUAACAUAAAAUGUCACCCUUAAGCUAAACGACAAUAGCUUCACACCGACAACCUUUGUGAUGUCGCCCCAUGUUUUUUUCAUUUUAUUUUUGGCCCAACUUGCUCUUAAAGCUCAAAAAAGCUGAGAGUAUAAAUUCCACUUCAAAUUCAAGAUCUGAAAGUUUGAUUUGAGAUAAAUGAAAUUAAUUAAUCUUUGAUUAUACUGUAUAUGGUGCAAAGAAUCACUAAAAAUAGAGGAUUAAGAGGCUGCAUUAGCAGAGUGAUGGCUAUGUUUGCCAAUUCUAUCUUGGAGAGUUUAGAAUUGAUUCCUUGUAACAUGAUGGGUCUUUUUAGUAAAAUUCAAUUUCGACCCUCCACAACAUGAUGGUAAGGUGUGGGAUAUAACCAUUUUUCUUCAAACAGCUAAUGUAAGUUCUUAUAAUCAAAUUAGUGGUUAAAGAAAGAAGUGAGGGUUGUUAGCAUUUCAGAUAUUUUUGGUUGACUUCACCCUCAACCAAUAAAUAUUUCUUCUCACACUUCCCAUUUCAUUUUUAAUCAAAACGUGUCCCCUUCACCUUCCACAAAAUUUCAUCCCUUCUCUAUUACCAAAAAUUCAUUUUUCCCUUGUGCUCACCAUUUGCUUUACUUCCUUAAACCAUCAAAACAACCAUGUCCCACACCUAUCGAUAAACAUUAAUUAACAAGUAACAUAUUUGUCUAAUAAUAAUAAUAAUAAUAAUAAUAAUAAUAAAAGGCAAAUUGUUUUUCACUUGAAUGGUAGUCUCCCUUCUUUGCUAACAAUUGAACGGUAGUUCAUUUUUAAAAAUUAAAAAUUUAUAUUUUAUCUAAUAUAUUUAUAUAAAAAAAGGAAGUUAAUUUAAAAUAAGAAAGCUAAAGUAAGGUUGGUUAGAAGUGUUUUCGAAAAAUGAAAAUUUUUAAGUACAUAACAAAAAAUAAUUUAUACUUACAAAAACAUAUACAAAUCUUGUCUUGUUUUCAGUUCCCUGUUUUAAGAAGUAUAUUUAUAGUUCAGAUUUGCAUGCAAAAAAUAAUUUAAAUUUAGAUAAGAAAACAAAACCAAUAAAAGAGACGUGAGAUUGAAAUUUCUAAAGGAAAUUUUUUCCCUUCUUUUUCCGGUGUCUUCCUUCACUAAUAUCUACUAAAAACAAGGCUAAGAGACAGGUAAAUUUUAAUUAGAAAAGUCGCCCUUUUUUUCUUUUACUUGUCAUUUUUUAGCUUUUUCACCCAUCUCUCUCUCCGUAAAAUGAACAAAAUUAUUCACCGCCUAAUUCCCAUACCAAGAAAAAACACAGCCCAGUUUUUUCUCAUCUUUUACUCUCAUUUUUAACCUUUCACUCGAUCUUACUCAUCCCGACUCGGUUCACAGCCAUAAGAUUCCUGAACCCCCCAUCCAAACACAUCCCCAUUCCCGCUCCUCCCGGAACUGCGCCGUUUUGCUGCUGCUGCUGUUGCUGCAUCUGCGUCAUGUAAUUCCUCACCUCAACCCUUAUCAUCUCUUGCAUCACCGCCAUAAACUCCGCACUGAAACCCAUCACCCCACCUCCCCUUUCUUCACUCCGAUUCUGAGUUGACUCCGUUAUUGGCUGGGUUGACACCACCUCACAUGACUCCACCCCCGGUAAAGAC